UACGUAGGUGGCAAGCGUUGUCCGGAAUUACUGGGCGUAAAGAGCUCGUAGGUGGUUUGUCGCGUUGUUCGUGAAAACCGGGGGCUUAACCCUCGGCGUGCGGGCGAUACGGGCAGACUUGAGUACUGCAGGGGAGACUGGAAUUCCUGGUGUAGCGGUGGAAUGCGCAGAUAUCAGGAGGAACACCGGUGGCGAAGGCGGGUCUCUGGGCCGAUACUGACGCUGAGGCUCGAAAGCUAGGGGAGCAAACAGG
rnacentral:rRNA from 1 species